rnacentral:rRNA from 1 species
UUGACCUCGGAUCAGGUAGGAAUACCCGCUGAACUUAAGCAUAUCAAAGUCCCGGAGGAA